GGUUCGAUCCCGGCUCAGAUUGAGCGCUGGUGGGAUGUGCUUUACACAUGCAGCCGAACGGCAGCACGGACUUCGGUCUGGUGGCGAGUGGCGAACGGGUGAGUAAUGUAUCGAACGUGCCUAGUAGCGGGGGAUAAUCUACGCGAAAGCGUAGCUAAUACCGCAUACGCCCUUCGGGGGAAAGCGGGGGACCUUCGGCCUCGCACUAUUAGAGCGGCCGAUAUCGGAUUAGCUAGUUGGUGGGGUAACGGCUCACCAAGGCGACGAUCCGUAGCUGGUUUGAGAGGACGACCAGCCACACUGGGACUGGAGACACGGCCCAGACUCCUACGGGAGGCAGCAGUGGGGAAUUUUGGACAAUGGGGGAAACCCUGAUCCAGCCAUCCCGCGUGUGCGAUGAAGGCCUUCGGGUUGUGGAAGCACUUUUGGCAGGAAGAAACGGCACGGGAUAACACCGUGCAACUGACGGUACCUGCAGAAUAAGCACCGGCUAACUACGUGCCAGCAGCCGCGGUAAUACGUAGGGUGCAAGCGUUAAUCGGAAUUACUGGGCGAAGCGUGCGCAGGCGGUUCGAAAGAAAGAUGUGAAAUCCCAGAGCUUAACUUUGGAACUGCAUUUUUAACUACCGAGCUAGAGUGUCAGAGGGAGGAAUUCCGCGUGUAGCAGGAAAUGCGUAGAUAUACGGAGGAACACCGAUGGCGAAGGCAGCCUCCUGAUAACACUGACGCUCAUGCACGAAAGCGUGGGAGCAAACAGGAUUAGAUACCCUGGUAGUCCACGCCCCAAACGAUGUCAACUUAGCUGUUGGGGCCCUUCGGGCCUUGGUAGCGCAGCUAACGCGUGAAGUUGACCGCCUGGGAGUACGGUCGCAAGAUUAAAACUCAAAGGAAUUGACGGGGACCCGCACAAGCGGUGGAUGAUGUGGAUUAAUUCGAUGCAACGCGAAAACCUUACCUACCCUUGACAUGUCUGAAUCCCGAAGAGAUUGGGAGUGCUCGCAAGAGAACCGGAACACAGGUGCUUUACGGCUGUCGUCAGCUCGUGUCGUGAGAUGUUGGGUUAAGUCCCGCAACGAGCGCAACCCUUGUCAUUAGUUGCUACGAAAGGGCACUCGACGAGAGACUGCAGCCGGUGACAAACCGGAGGAAGGUGGGGAUGACGUCAAGUCCUCAUGGCCCUUAUGGGUAGGGCUUCACACGUCAUACAAUGGUCGGGCGAGGGUCGCCAACCCGCGAGGGGGAGCCAAUCCCAGAAACCCGAUCGUAGUCCGGAUCGCAGUCUGCAACUCAGACUGCGUGAAGUCGGAAUCGCUAGUAAUCGCGGAUCAGCAUGUCGCGGUGAAUACGUUCCCGGGUCUUGUACACACCGCCCGUCACACCAUGGGAGUGGGUUUUACCAGAAGUAGCCAGCCUAACCGUAAGGAGGGCGAUUACCACGGUAGGAUUCAUGACUGGGGUGAAGUCGUAACAAGGUAG
rnacentral:rRNA from 1 species